rnacentral:rRNA from 1 species
GACCUCCUACGGGGCGCAGCAGUGAGGAAUAUUGGUCAAUGGUCGGGAGACUGAACCAGCCACGCCGCGUGAGGGAUGAAGGUACAGAGUAUCGUAAACCUCUUUUGUCAGGGAACAAAGGCGGGGACGCGUCCCCGGAUGAGUGUACCUGAAGAAAAAGCAUCGGCUAACUCCGUGCCAGCAGCCGCGGUAAUACGGAGGAUGCGAGCGUUAUCCGGAUUUAUUGGGUUUAAAGGGUGCGCAGGCGGUCCGUUAAGUCAGCGGUCAAAGCCCGGGGCUCAACCCCCGCCCGCCGUUGAAACUGG